rnacentral:rRNA from 1 species
AACGAACGCUGGCGGCAUGCCUAACACAUGCAAGUCGAACGAGACCUUCGGGUCUAGUGGCGCACGGGUGCGUAGCGCGUGGGAACCUGCCCUUAGGUUCGGAAUAACUCCCCGAAGGGGGGGCUAAUACCGGUAAAUUUCUUCGACCAAAGAUUUAUCGCCUUUGGAUGGGGCCGCGUUGGAUUAGCUAGUUGGUAGGGUAAAAGCCUACCAAGGCGACGAUCCAUAGCUGGUCUGAGAGGAUGAUCAGCCACACUGGGACUGAGACACGGCCCAGACUCCUACGGGAGGCAGCAGUGGGGAAUAUUGGACAAUGGGCGAAAGCCUGAUCCAGCAAUGCCGCGUGAGUGAUGAAGGCCUUAGGGUUGUAAAGCUCUUUUACCCGGGAUGAUAAUGACAGUACCGGGAGAAUAAGCUCCGGCUAACUCCGUG